AUGAGAACUCUGGAAAGAUGCCCCAAGGUAGAGCCACUGGUGAAAAUGAGAUAAAGAGUCAUUUAUUAGGUACGUGGCUUGUAGGCCCAGGCAUGCACAAAGAUGAAAUGAUGGGCAGUACAACAUCAGACAGAAGAUUGUGGUCUGCAAGCAGUCCCACCUUUUCGUCAUCAGCUCAGAACUCCGCUUCUCUGGCAGACAGGACAAAGACAGGCAAAAGUUACAGCCACGCACACCCUUGCUUUUCCUUUUAAUUGGCUCAACAACAAGGUUAUCAGAUGUGAACUGUGACUUCUCUGUCCUCCACCCAAGCUUGAUGGGAAAAUCAGAACAAGGGGAGGGGUAGCAGUCUCUCCAGCCUCUUCUCUCCUCCCUCAUUCUCUUCUGGGACAGCUGCUCCUAACCAUGCUGACCAUUUUGCUUGCUCUUCUGCCUGGUUCUGGAGUGGGUUACACCAUCACGCAGUGGCCCAAAGAUGCAAUCAAGAGAGCUGGAGAGAGUGUGGACCUCACCUGCUACCAGAAUCAUUCCACGCUUGCCUAUAUGUUCUGGUACCAGCAGCUUUCAAGGAGUAGUCUGAAGUUAAUAGCCAGCACUGCUACCUGGAUACGGAAUUCUUACGAGGAAGGUUACAGUGAAGCCAAGUUUGAGAUAAGCAGAGACAAGAACAAUCUCUCUGUUAUGACUAUCAAGAAUGUGACGUCCAAGGAUGCUGCCACUUAUUUCUGCGCUGCGAGUGAUCACACGAUGCAGCAAGAGCAUUAAGCACUCACACAAAAUCCUCACCUUGUCUGAAGGGGAGACAAAGUCUCUGUAAAAUGUGAGACAGACAGGAGAGGGGCAGAAGAAGAGCAGAAUUAAAACACGCGCAAAGUCAGGGAACGGAGCCCAGACCCGUGGGAGGGAAGAGGGCCCAGCAAAGCAAUGCAGCAGCAUCUGUCUUCAAAGACAAAAAGCCUUCAGAAACACAAACCCAUAGACCAGUAUUAAGAAUUGCGGCACCGCUGGCUAGCAAAAGGCCUUAGACACUUCUCAGGAUUAGUGCUACAGAAGCACAGCCAAGUUCUUGGCCGCUAGCUCCCCACAGGCCCAACGAUGGCACUGAGGAUAUAGUGUGGUAAAGUACAAAGCAGAAGGUGAAUUCCACGCUCUUUCACAUACUGCACAGCCAGAGAAAGGAAACCACAAAGCCUGCUCUCACAUGGUGUUUCCAUUGUGACAGACAGCUGCAGGCAGAAACUGAAUACACCUUGGCCAGAGUGCUGCCUGAGCAGACUUGUGAUUUCCCUCACACACACACACACACACACACACACACACACCCAUGCGCACACACAAACCCAUGUAGGGCACCCUUCAAGACUAGGGGAAGGAGCUGCCUUCCCUGUGAGGAAGCACAUGUUGUGUGGGCAAAGUCAUGGUCCAGUCUGCUCAGAAGAACCUCAGGCACCUCAGCAGUGAUAUGUGGGGCACUAACAUCGUGGUCUGUCGAUCAGAAAGAGCGGCAAAAAAGCAUGCCCACCAAGCAGCGCUCCGGGCCCCAGGUCAGGCCUCAGUGCACCUGCUUCCUCGCAAGGUCUCAGGAAGCCCUGUGGAAAAACAAACCUUUUCUGUUUUCUUCCAUUUCUUUUUUCCUAUACCCAUUUGAAGAACUAAUCAGCCACUCUCAACAGCACAAAAGAUAUCACGGGUGCCAGCUGGUAACGCCUUUUGAGAAGAAGGUCCCUGUGAGCCUCUCUAUGCUACUUGCUUAAAUCAACAAGAGGACACUACAGGCCUUUGCCCAGACCAAGGCUGGAGCUUGCAGCAG